UCUCAAAUGCUAAAUAACUUUUUUUUUAUCCUGAAUUUUUAAAGAUCAUCAAUCUUGAUUCUAUAGAAAUGUACAAGUAGAUUCAUAUCAAUGGAUUAAUUUACUAAUUAACACAUAAUAAUUUAGUUAUAAAAAUUAUUCCAGAUUACAUGAAAACUGCUGUUGUUAGCCUUAAUUUAUUCAUCUGUUAUAAUGCUCUGUUAAUUUAGUUUCUUUUUUUUAUUACAGAGACCCACCACCAUUUGUUUAUUGUCUGUUGAGGCUUGCGGUGCAGGUCUUCUCCUUCCCUCUACAAGUUAGCUAAGGCUUCUUCUUCAUUUUUUACUUACAGCUCUUUGCCUUUUUGAUUCCCCUUGUAUUGUCAGCUCCCUGGCUCGGUGUUCUUGCACUUUGGCUUCUAUUUUUUAACUAGUCUAUUUAGUUUAGCCUCUGCUUUGACAGCUGCUGUUAGCCUCUACUGAUUCAUAUGUUACGAUGCUCUCUUGAUUUAUUUUAUUUUUUUGGUUACAGGGAGCCGCCGCCAUUUGUUUGUUGUCUACUGAGGCCUGAGGUGCAGGGCUUCUCCUUCCCUCUUCAGCAGGCUUGCGGAGCUGCAACCACCUGCUUUCUCAUACUGUUCUUUCGCCUACAAAACUUUGGCAGCUUAGGCCCCCAAAUUGUCAUCCGCACACUUAUUUUCGAGGGUUUCAUAGGGAAACUGGCACUUUCUCUACUGACGAGUUGGAUUUUGAUUUCUGCAACUUGAAGAUAACUGCUACCUCUGCAAUUUUGGCAUACUUCGCAAACAACACUGCCCUUUAAGUGCCUUGCGGCCCAUCGCUUUGUUUGCACUUUUGUUGAUGUUUAUAACUCCAUCUAUACCAUCGAACAUUUAAUGCUGAGCUCUUGGCUGCCAGUCUGCAUUGGCAAAUAUGAACUUGUGGAUUGUUCUUUGCAUUAAGGAAAUUGGAAUUUGCUU